AACGUAGGAGACAAACGUUAUCCGGAGUUACUGGGCGUAAAGGGCGUGUAGGCGGUUUGUUAAGUUUAGCGUGAAAGCUCUCGGCUAAACCGGGAGAGGUCGUUGGAUACUGGCAAACUAGAGGACGGUAGAGGCGUGUGGAAUUCCGGGUGUAGUGGUGAAAUGCGUAGAGAUCCGGCGGAACACCGGUGGUGAAGGCGGUCUCCUGGGCCGAGGGCCGACGCUGAGGCGCGAGAGCGUGGGGAGCGAACCGG
rnacentral:rRNA from 1 species